AUCGAACGCUGGCGGCAGGCUUAACACAUGCAAGUCGAGCGGAUGAUGGCAGCUUGCAGCUGGAUUCAGCGGCGGACGGGUGAGUAACGCGUAGGCAUCUUCCUGGUAGCGGGGGAUAACGUCCGGAAACGGGCGCUAAUCCCGCAUACGUCCUGAGGGAGAAAGUGGGGGAUGUUCGGACCUUACGCUAUCAGAUGAGCCUAGGUCGGAUGAGCUAGUUGGUGGGGUAAAGGCCUACCAAGGCGACGAUCCGUAACCGGUCUGAGAGGAUGGACGGCCACACGGGAUGUGAGACACGGCAGCGACACCUAGGGUGGGCCGCGGUGGAGAAUAUUGGACGAUGGGGGAAAGCCUGAUCCAGCCAAGCCGGGUGAGUGCAGAAGGUCCUCGGAUGGGAGAGCGCUUUAGGUUGUGAGGAAGGACAGUAAUUUAAUACCUGACUGUAUUGACGGUACCGACAGAAUAAGCACCGGCUAACUUCGUG
rnacentral:rRNA from 1 species